rnacentral:rRNA from 1 species
GGAGAAAGCAGGGGAUCGCAAGACCUUGCGCUUUUGGAGCGGCCGAUGUCUGAUUAGCUUGUUGGUAAGGUAAAAGCUUACCAAGGCUUCGAUCAGUAGCUGGUCUGAGAGGACGACCAGCCACACUGGGACUGAGACACGGCCCAGACUCCUACGGGAGGCAGCAGUGGGGAAUUUUGGACAAUGGGGGCAACCCUGAUCCAGCCAUGCCGCGUGAGUGAAGAAGGCCUUCGGGUUGUAAAGCUCUUUCAGCCGGAACGAAACGGUUACGGUUAAUACCCGUGACUACUGACGGUACCGGAAGAAGGAGCACCGGCUAACUACGUGCCAGCAGCCGCGGUAAUACGUAGGGUGCGAGCGUUAAUCGGAAUUACUGGGCGUAAAGCGUGCGCAGGUGGUUUUGUAAGUCAGAUGUGAAAUCCCCGGGCUCAACCUGGGAACUGCGUUUGAAACUACAAGGCUAG